ACGAACGUUGGCGGCGUGGAUUAGGCAUGCAAGUCGAACGAAGCACGGGGGGCAACUCCCGUGACUGAGUGGCGAAAGGGGCAGUAAGGCGUGGGUAACCUACCCCGGGGAUCGGGAUAGCCUUUCUAACGAGAGGGUAAUACCGGGCGACGUAGCGGGAAGGCAUCUUCCUGCUACCAAAUGAGUUUCGCCCUGGGAGGGGCUCACGUGGUAUUAGCUAGUUGGUAAGGUAACGGCUUACCAAGGCUUAGAUGCCUAGCAGGUGUGAGAGCACGACCUGCGCCACUGGCACUGAGACACUGGCCAGACUCCUACGGGAGGCUGCAGUCGAGAAUCUUCGGCAAUGGGCGCAAGCCUGACCGAGCGACGCCGCGUGGACGAUGAAGGCCUUCGGGUUGUAAAGUCCUGUCGAGGGGGAGGAAGCCGCAAGGUUGACCUAUCCCUGGAGGAAGCACGGGCUAAGUUCGUGCCAGCAGCCGCGGUAAGACGAACCGUGCGAACGUUGUUCGGAAUCACUGGGCUUAAAGGGCGCGUAGGCGGGUCGGCAAGUCAGGGGUGAAAUCGUUCGGCUUAACCGGACAACUGCCUUUGAUACUGCCGGUCUUGAGGGAGGUAGGGGUCUGUGGAACUUCCGGUGGAGCGGUGAAAUGCGUUGAUAUCGGAAGGAACGCCGGUGGCGAAAGCGGCGGACUGGACCUCUUCUGACGCUGAGGCGCGAAAGCCAGGGGAGCAAACGGGAUUAGAUACCCCGGUAGUCCUGGCCCUAAACGAUGGGUACUAGGUUGUGGACUAAACAUGGGUUCACAGCCGAAGCAAAAGUGUUAAGUACCCCGCCUGGGGAGUAUGGUCGCAAGGCUGAAACUCAAAGGAAUUGACGGGGGCUCACACAAGCGGUGGAGCAUGUGGCUUAAUUCGAGGCUACGCGAAGAACCUUAUCCUGGGCUUGACAUGUGCGAAAGCGGCAGGAAGUAGGGGACGGAAACGCACCCCGAACGGUAUCCAGUCCGGAACUUGCUACAGGUGCUGCAUGGCUGUCGUCAGCUCGUGUCGUGAGAUGUCGGGUUAAGUCCCAUAACGAGCGAAACCCUUGUCCGCAGUUGCCACCAGGUCAAGCUGAGCACUCUGCGGAGACUGCCGGUGUUAAACCGGAGGAAGGUGGGGAUGACGUCAAGUCCUCAUGGCCUUUAUGCCCAGGGCUGCACACGCGCUACAAUGGCGUGGACAAAGGGAAGCCAACCCGCGAGGGGGAGCCAAGCCCAUCAAAGCCGGUCUCAGUUCAGAUUGCAGGCUGAAACCCGCCUGCAUGAAGUCGGAGUUGCUAGUAACCGUAGGUCAGCACACUACGGUGAAUACGUUCCCGGGUCUUGUACACACCGCCCGUCACACCACGAAAGUCGGCAACCCCUGAAGCCGCUGAGCUAACCGUCAGGAGGCAAGCGUCGAGGGUGGGGUCG
rnacentral:rRNA from 1 species